rnacentral:tRNA from 1 species
GGUCGUGGCUCAGUGGUAGAGUGCUUGCCUAGCAUGUAUGAGGCACUGGGUUCGAUUCUCAGCACCA